GGUCCGUAUUUCAUUUUAUCUCUUCUUACUUCACUGUGAUGUUUGCUUUGAUAUUUUUUCUUCCCAAUUUUCAUGCUAUUGCUCUCUUCAAAUCUUUGAGAUUCAGCCUAACUUUGAUGAAUAUAGAAGCGUAUGUUUGGGGAGGGUGAGUGCUAGCAUCUUUAACAAUGGAGAGAGGUAUUUUGGCGAGCAGCUCAGAGGGAGUUUAUACAACAAUCUCUGGGUUAAUCAGUUGUUAAGAAGUUUGAAACCGGAGAAGGAGGAGAGCAAGAUCAAACCCGAGGUUGCUUUCUCUGUUAUCGCUAUACAGAAUGACAAAGAGACUUUGCAGGACUGAGGACUUUGUUGCGGCAUUGGAUGAGUAAAGAAAAUCAAGAUGUAUUAAUUUCAUUGUUUCAGUCUUUUUUUUGUGCAAAUUGGUCGGAAAAACUCAAUAUUUGUUUGUUUCCCUGUCUUUUGAAUUGAUAAACUUGAGCCUUGAAAUAUAAUGCAACUUAGACUUUCUUCUUUCCUUACAAUUCUGACAGUUUUUAUGUGUCUUCCUUAUUUUGGAUUUUUUAGUUACUGGAAACAAAACAUUACUAGGUUCUUAGAUUAAUGGAACAGUCUCACUCAGUAUCAGGAUCAUGAUCAAUCAUUCGAUACCACGGAGGAUGAACUAGAGAAAAUGUGUGCUACUUAUUUAAGGUUUUUGCUGCCUCAGUGACCGAUUUACAGGUACCUCCAGAUCUUCUACGUUGUAGUUAUUGGGAUGCAGAGGAUUGACUACUAAGCUUAGGAAUCUAGCUCCAGCUUAUUGUAAAUAUUGAAUUAGACUAUGUUUGUGUUGUAUUUGAAGAUACAAAUAAACCUUAUAUGUUUAUAACAAUAUUUGAUGAUGGUUCAGCUGAA